AUUGACAAAAACCUGGAUAAACCAGAGUGUGCCAAUGGGUUUCUGCUGGAUGGAUUCCCUCGCACCAUCAAACAAGCAUCUGCUCUUGACAAACUGUUGGAGCAGAGAAAAUCCAAGCUGACUGCAUGUGUGGAAUUCAAAAUCGAUGAUUCUUUAUUGGUGCGGCGCAUCACAGGGCGUCUCAUUCAUCCACCAAGUGGAAGAUCAUAUCAUGUUGAGUUCAAUCCACCCAAAGUUCCCAUGAAAGAUGAUAAAACUGGAGAACCACUCAUAAGAAGAUCAGACGACAAUGAAGAAGCCUUGAUGAAGCGUCUGGACUCUUAUCACAAACAAACCAGUCCUCUCGUAGAUUACUACAGCAAGAAAGGGAUCCACACGGCCGUGGAUGCCAAGCAGCCACCCAACGUUGUCUUUGCUGCCAUUCAGGCUGCCUUCUCAGGGAAAGGAAAAGAUAAACUACGACUACUUGGACAGGGAUAGUUACAUGUAGAUCAUUUUUACAUUGAAAUGCCAUCUAUCGUUUAGUUCAAGCAAACCUUGACAUAAAUUAUUUUUUCAUAGACGUACUUGCAUACAUCUUUGAAAUGGAAUGAAUGAUGAAAUUUAUAUGCAUGGUAUCCCAAGGAUUUCAUUUGUUGAAAAUUUUUUAGAAGUGAAUUGAAUUCACUUUACUUUAUAUAAUAAAGCUUUACAACACAUUAUCUCCGAGUUAGAAAAGAAUUGUCACGUUACCGGAAAUCUUGAAUCAAGGUUGCAAUUUAUGUAUAUGUUAUAUCUUUUUCCAAAAAUAAAUUUAUUUUUAACCCA
rnacentral:misc_RNA from 1 species